rnacentral:lncRNA from 1 species
GAAGACCCAGAGAAACCGUUUUUUUAAAAAGAAAGCAAGUAAAGACACCAGCAGAAAACUUUUGCCUCCAGAUACAAGUGGGCAUGUAGGGAGAGAAUAGUAAACUGGCUUUUCUUUUCUAGGCAACAUUCGAAACCCAGGUGCCACUCCUUCAGGAAGGUACCAUCAAGCUCCAAGGACUCUUAUCCUCUUUCUCCUUCCCCACUACCUAGUCAUUAGAGCGUCAGCAUCCACUUCUUGAAAGGAAGAUGCCUGUUUUUCACAUAUCCCAGAAAGCCCCAUUUUAGGACAGCAUUUAGCAGAGUAUAUUCAGGAUCCCACUAACCUUUUUGGAAGACAUGACUUCCAGAUGAUAUAAGGCUCCAUCAGGAACUGUGCAGGACUGUGCCCUCUGUUGAUACUCACAUGGUGGAAUUAUAUUGCCCUUGGCCAACCCUAAAGCCAUCAAGAUAGCAGGUCUGGCCUACAGAGAAGAGAGAUCAGGGAGCUCUUCAGUUGUACC